UUAACUUAAAUUUGUACGGAGUUGGGACGAUUAGCUACGUUUGCCACUAGGGGCGCUGUUCCAACUGCUUACAAAUCAGAGUUA
rfam:Bombyx mori DNA, contig: Bm_scaf42_contig23831, strain: p50T/Dazao, build 2, whole genome shotgun sequence.